GAUGAAGAACGCAGCGAAAUGCGAUAAGUAAUGUGAAUUGCAGAAUUCAGUGAAUCAUCGAAUCUUUGAACGCACAUUGCGCCCGCCAGUAUUCUGGCGGGCAUGCCUGUUCGAGCGUCAUUUCAACCAUCAAGCCCCCCGGCUUGAGUUGGGGACCUGCGGCUGCCGCAGGCCCUGAAAAGCAGUGGCGGGCUCGCUGUCACACCGAGCGUAGUAGCAUACAUCUCGCUCUGGGCGUGCUGCGGGUUCCGGCCGUUAAACCACCUUCAUAACCCAAGGUUGACCUCGGAUCAGGUAGGAAGACCCGCUGAACUUAAGCAUAUCAAUAAGCGGAGGA
rnacentral:misc_RNA from 1 species